AAGAUGAUGCAGCCUUACAGAGCCUGAAUCUGAAAAUAAGGACUUAUACAGAACCCCAAUCCUGUGUCUGACAGAAGCAGAGCUAAAAACUAAACUGAACACCUGGAACCCAGUUGCAAAGAAGAUUGAUGAGCAAAGGAAUCAAGACCAGGCCGGCAAAACCCAGAGAGAAAAUGAGAAGCUGUGCAUUCUUGCCAGACUAAUAGAGUUUGAUCAAGCAAGUCCCCGUGUUGAUCCAGAUGAUACAGAAUCCAAGACUGCUGGGAUGAUGCAGUCUCAUAUACCACUACAGCCAGGAUUUGGUCAGGUUUCUGGGUUUUCUUGGGAUCCUCAAAACAGCACACUCAGUCAGCAGGAAGCAACUUGAAGAAAAUGAUGCACAAAAUCCCAAAUAUUGUUUAUAGAUAUUUGUUUUCAUUUAAAUGAGUUUGGUUAUAAAUGGUUAAGGAUCACAACCAAUUUCUAUAGAAAACAAGGGG